GCUCACUUCAGCAGGGCAUACACUAAAAUAGGAACAAUACAGAGAAGAUUAGCAUGGCCCCUGCACAAGAAGGACAUGCAAAUUUGUGAAGCAUCCCAUACUUUU